AUGUAUAUCACAACCGUGAGAUGGGAAAAAAGAUGCAAAUGUACAUCUAAUUUUACACCCAGCCAAAUGGGUGCCGUAACAAAAAAACCAAGAGAGAGAAGAGAGGAAGGCUACCUAAAAGAUGGAGAAGUUAUUAUAAUGGUGGGCCCAGGGUGUGGUUGAGAUUUAUUAAAGUGGGGAAGUUAUUAAAAUGAUGCAAAUGUAUGAAGUUCUUCUCUAACAACUCUCUAAUGUAGAUUUCAUUCAAAUUGAAAUAUAAAACUAACAACUACACUGAUGAAUGGUGAAGAAUAAAUUCAUAUCAAACCCGACGGUUCAGAUUAAUUUUAUUAUCUUAUUGAAUGAAAUUAUCUCUUAUCGCAAUUUUAAAAUUUUUGUGUCAAUUUGUUUAGAAAAAAUAAUUAAACCUAACACAUUAAAAAUUAACCCAAAAAAACAAAACAUGAAAAAAAAAUUAACACAAUAAACGAAUUCAUACAAGAAAAUUGGAUUUACAUCUUUGAAUUUGCAUCGAACUCAUUGAAGCAAAAAUGACAUUUGCAUCUCCCGGAGGUGUAAAGAGUAUGUAAAAGUGGGUUUACACCUCCGCAUUUACACCUCCCCACUGUGAAUGCUCUAACAGUGGCCAAGUCACAUGCCA
rnacentral:lncRNA from 1 species